rnacentral:tRNA from 1 species
UUGCGGCUGGAUCACCUCCUUUCUAAGGAGUCUAUAUGACUCUACAGAAAAUCUCGGGCUAAGGGCCACCUCUUCAAUACAUACUUACAUCACCAUUUGCAUUAAGUGAGGGUUCAGACGGCGCCUCUCCAUCGACGAGAGGUCGACGCAAGCACGGGCCCUGGUCGCUUCAGACUCAGCUGGGCCUGUAGCUCAGUUGGUUAGAGCACGCGCUUGAUAAGCGCGGGGUCGAUAGUUCAACUCUAUCCAGGCCCACCAUCUGAGUCCUGAUCUGCCGGGCACGCCCAGCAAGCCAUCAGGGCGCAGGCUCUUACCUGGAGUUUGGGGCUGUANCUCANUUGGGAGAGCACCUGCUUUGCAAGCAAGGGGUCGUCGGGUC